AAGAGCAUAGCUCAGCGGUAGAGCGCGUGCUUAGCAUCCACAAGGUCCUGGGUUCAAUGCCCAGUACUUCCA
rnacentral:tRNA from 1 species